rnacentral:rRNA from 1 species
GACGAACGCUGGCGGCGUGCUUAACACAUGCAAGUCGAACGGUGAAGCGCCUUCCUUUUUGGUGGGUGUGGAUGAGUGGCGAACGGGUGAGUAACACGUGAGUAACCUGCCCCCUUCUUCUGGAUAACCGCGUGAAAGUGUGGCUAAUACGGGAUAUUCUGGGUCUGUCGCAUGAUGGGUCUGGGAAAGAUAUUGUUUCGGUGGGGGAUGGGCUCGCGGCCUAUCAGCUUGUUGGUGGGGUGAUGGCCUACCAAGGCGGUGACGGGUAGCCGGCCUGAGAGGGUGGACGGUCACACUGGGACUGAGACACGGCCCAGACUCCUACGGGAGGCAGCAGUGGGGAAUAUUGCACAAUGGGCGCAAGCCUGAUGCAGCGACGCCGCGCGAGGGAUGGAGGCCUUCGGGUUGUGAACCUCUUUCGCCAGUGAAGCAGGCCUGCCUCGUUUGUGGGUGGGUUGACGGUAGCUGGAUAAGAAGCGCCGGCUAACUACGUG